rnacentral:rRNA from 1 species
AACUCCGACGUAAGACUGAACCUAUAGUACUAAACCACCAUGUUUGUACUAAGUACAGCUAGUUAUCUCAUAAAUAGAAACCUACAGCCGUAACAAGGGCGAUGGGAAGUGUUUCGUCUACUACAACAAACCACCUUAGAUGAAUGCGUCCCCAACAAAGUGACCGAUCCUAACGUUUGAUAGUUAGAUCAAACAUAAAACACGACGGGGAUAGACGAUGUCGUAUGGGUUUUGUCAAUAACCAAAUGACGACUUACCCGCUACCCAGAUAUCAAGUACAUCCAGGUCCAUACUCCAUUACGCUUGAACACGAUAGCCAUAACUAACUAACAACGGUCUACCCCGUGGAACGAUACUCCAUUACGUUUGAACACUAUAGAAAGAUCCCUGGCAACCAAA